rnacentral:rRNA from 1 species
UACGGAGGGUGCAAGCGUUAUCCGGAUUCACUGGGCUUAAAGGGUGCGUAGGCGGCUUUGUAAGUCAGUGGUGAAAUCUCCAAGCUUAACUUGGAAACUGCCGUUGAUACUAUAAAUCUUGAAUGUUGUGGAGGUGAGCGGAAUAUGUCAUGUAGCGGUGAAAUGCUUAGAUAUGACAUAGAACACCAAUUGCGAAGGCAGCUCACUGCGCAAGGAUUGACACUGAGGCACGAAAGCGUGGGGAGCAAACAGG